rnacentral:rRNA from 1 species
GUGGGGAAUAUUGGACAAUGGGGGGAACCCUGAUCCAGCCAUGCCGCGUGUGUGAAGAAGGCCUUUUGGUUGUAAAGCACUUUAAGCGAGGAGGAGGCUACCGAGAUUAAUACUCUUGGAUAGUGGACGUUACUCGCAGAAUAAGCACCGGCUAACUCUGUGCCAGCAGCCGCGGUAAUACAGAGGGUGCAAGCGUUAAUCGGAAUUACUGGGCGUAAAGCGCGCGUAGGUGGUUUUGUAAGUUGGAGGUGAAAUCCCCGGGCUCAACCUGGGAACUGCCUCCAAAACUGCAUGACUAGAGUACGGUAGAGGGUAGUGGAAUUUCCUGUGUAGCGGUGAAAUGCGUAGAUAUGCGGAGGAACACCGAUGGCGAAGGCAAUCCCCUGGGCCUGCACUGACGCUCAUGCACGAAAGCGUGGGGAGCAAACAGGAUUAGAAACCCGAGUAGUCC